rnacentral:rRNA from 1 species
AGUGAACGCUGGCGGCGUGCUUAACACAUGCAAGUCGAACGAGAACGGAUUAUAGCUUGCUAUAAUUGUCAGCUAAGUGGCGCACGGGUGAGUAAUGUAUAGGUAAUAUGCCUCUUACUAAGGGAUAACAAAUGGAAACGUUUGCUAAUACCUUAUACUCCUUAUUAACAUAAGUUAAUAAGGGAAAGAUUUAUUGGUAAGAGAUUAGCCUGUAUUGUAUCAGUUAGUUGGUGGGGUAAUGGCUUACCAAGACUAUGACACAUAACUGGUUUGAGAGGAUAAUCAGUCACACUGGAACUGAGACACGGUCCAGACUCCUACGGGAGGCAGCAGUGGGGAAUAUUGCACAAUGGACGAAAGUCUGAUGCAGCAACGCCGCGUGGAGGAUGACACAUUUCGGUGCGUAAACUCCUUUUAUAUGAGAAGAUAAUGACGGUACUAUAUGAAUAAGCACCGGCUAACUCCGUGCCAGCAGCCGCCGUAAUAC